rnacentral:lncRNA from 13 species
AAGUGCAAAGGUGUUCUUUGUUAUGGCAUCAGAAAAGGGAUUAGCAUAUCAAUUGGACUGGGGGGACCGGACAAUGAGCCCUCCUCCCCCGGAGCUGCCCUCGGUUCGCCUCCUGCCUCCGCCUCCUCCUCUUUGUGUCCUUCCUCCUCCUCUUCUUCCUCUGGCUGCUGGGAGAGCUGUCAAGGCUGGGUCGGGGAGUUUGGGCGGCAGUCUGGGACUGAGCGGGCAGGCGCAGCGCACGCUUCACGCCGCCCACCGGGCUCCGCGGCCUGCGCGGUGUCCGCGUCCUCGCCCUCGCCCUCGCCCUCGCCCUCGCCCCACGCCCUUCUCUGGGGGCUCAGCCUCUCUAGGCGCCCAGGCGUGAGCCUGGAGAAGGUGAAGCGCGGCGGGUCUGGGCGGCCACAAGGGCGUGGACGAGGCCUGCCCGGGAGGGCGGCCUUGCACGGCCCCACGCGGCGCCCCCUCCCUGCACUCGCGACCCGGGCCCCGCAAGCCCUUCGCCUCCCCCGGGAACGCAAAUCCCUAACCGACUCGCACUCUUCUGGCCAUCGGGCCCCACCCUCCUCCGGCCUCCACGCCAGACUCUCUGACCUGGUGACCCACGCUUUUUUGCGUUGGGAGGAAGCAAAGACCCUUAAGCCCGGGGCGGCUGCUUCCUUGGGAGCUGCGGGUCGGCUCCGGUGGUCCCGAGGCGAGGGCCCAGCCGAGGCGAGGCGGCUGGAGCGGCAGAGGCCCAAGCAGGGCCCCGCCCCCACCGACACCCCCUGCCCCAAGCCGGCCCUGCGGAAGUCGGCUCCUCAGGCCGAGGCAGAAAUUAGAAAGCCUGCCCCGGAUCAGGUGCAGGAAAGCAAAGCAGAAAUCAGUCUUGGGAUGCGGCCCUGGCUGGCAGGGCCUUGGCCCCGAUUGCCGCCGCGACCCCUCCCGGCUGCCUCCGCCCUGGAGCGCAGGGCAGAGGCGCUAGUGCCUGCGGGACAACCCCCGGCUCUGGGAGCGAAGGAGCUGGGAAAAGCGCGGAGAAGGAAGGUGGAAGGGGGACACAGGCAGCGACGGAGCUCUCCGCCCGCCCGCGGACGAACCGGACCCGCCACUUCCCAGCCAGCCGCCGCUGGGCCGCGAAGCCCGCGCCACCUAGGCUACCCCAGCGAGGAAACGCGUUCUUUCCUUUUUCUUCUCCCCUCCCCCCUUCCCCUUUCUCCCUAG